UUCCCCUCCCUUGGGGUAAAAAAUAAAAUAAGAAAACACUUCAACACAUUGAUCAAGCAAGUAAUUGACCUCCAUGACGAUGAAUUCCAUAUCUGUUCUGAGAAAGAUUGUGAACCUUGUUCUGGUUGAAAUGUGAGAACAUCGUGCUUUCAACCAUCCCUAAUAUGCGCUAUCACGUCAAAUGAUGGAUGAUAAUUUUUUACAGCCAAGUAAUUUUUCAGCACAGAAUACUUGAAAAAGUUUACAACAGUUAACUCUGAUUUAGCCAUGUUGUAAGAUUUUUCAUGUUUCCAUCUCUUAAUCUUUAGUUUCUAAGUAGUCAAACAGGACAUUUACUUAUUAUUUGUUCUUCUAAUGGGGAUCAAUGCCUGCAUUGUAACAGGAAGCUGGCCUCAUGGUGCGUGCUGCAAAGAGGUCAAUGGUGGAUGAGUUGGAAGCAAUGCUUGAUGUUGUGGACCCCCAUCCUCCAGGGAAAUCACUUUCCACGAGGAGGAGGACUUUUGAUAUGCCUGAUAGUCGCAUUCAGAAGGAAAUUGCAGCAGGUGUGACACAGGUUGUCGAAAUGCUUAGUCAGGAAGAGCACUCAGAGUGCUGAAUGGAUAUAAAUUUCCUACAAACUGGCCGGGGUGAAGGAAUUUUGCCUAAAUAACGGAAGAAAGCUUUGGGUUUGGAGAUGGCUGAUCACUGUGCUUUGAUUUGUGUCUGUAAUGUUUACAACUGGGCAGUGUUAAUUAUUAAUUUUAUCUACCUAGAAAAGCUUCAUUCCAUCCA